rnacentral:tRNA from 1 species
UAGGAAGUAGUAUAAUGAAGUGCUGAGGAUUUUGAGUCUUCAUGUGCGGGUUCGAGGCCCGUCUUUCUA